UUGGAGCUGAAAUGAAAUGGAGGUUUCUUAUGAAAAUAGGCUUUGUUUGGCCGCAAGGCUGGUAAUUCAUAAACAAUAAGCAGGGCCCCAUUGUGUAGAUAAUAAUAUAUUCAUGCCGCUGGAGAUGGGGAGAAAGCAAAGCGAAGGCUGAGGAUAUAUAAGGAGGAUAGGCAGAGACAGCGAUGGAGAGUGAAGGGAUAAGAAGAAGGGGAGGAGAAAGACGAGGGGCUAAUAGCAAAUAGUGGGUCAGAGAAAAUUGGUAAUGGUUGGGUAGAGGCAGAGGAUUUAUUAGAGGAAGUGAAAGGACUGAAAGUGGGUAGGAGUGAAAAGUGAGUGGGAGUGAGGAAGGUGAAAAUAGGAGUAGGAGAGAUAGACAAGAUAAGAAUGAGGCGAGGAGGGCGGGAGAUUGGGAAAUGGUUUUGAGUACCUCUGAGUCUACAGGUGACUGGUUUGGCAGCAGUGGGGGGAGAAGGCAAGUGAGUGAAAGUAUCAUAGAAAAUGGAAAAGGUUGCACAGUGCAAAUCUGUGUGGUGUUGAGAGUGGUGGAGCUGAUAGAGUGGAUUGGUCAAGUGCAGAGACAGAGCAGUGGAAAAAGAAAAAAAACUCCACAGUCAAUGUCUGACAGGAGAGAGGAGAGAGGAGACCGGUGUGCCUGCGGUGGUGUAAACAUGACAGGAGGGCUUUUACCGCCCGGAGACAGGAGUGUGGCUGAGGAGAACAGAUUUCACCGUUGCUGGAAUAGCAUCUGCACUGGGACUUUUUUUUUAAGAGGUGAGAUAUUAAAAUACAUCUUCAAAACAUUUAUUGUUAACCCAAAUCACUGCUUUACUGUAACAGCUUCACAAAGUGAUAAUAAUAAUAAUAAUAAUAAUAAUAAUAAUAAUAAACAUAAUAAUAAUAAUAAUAAUAAUAACUAA
ensembl:lncRNA